rnacentral:lncRNA from 1 species
AAAAAAAAGGAGAUUCCGAACGUAUCUCAUCAAACACUUGCAAAGCCGGGAGAUCUGUCUGCAAAUAUCCGGAAUUCCAUUGCAGUAUCGGAUUAGAUCGAUUCCUGUUCAAGUUUCUUUGAAGAUGACCAUCAGAAUUUUAGGAAACUUUUCAGCCCGUGUUUGCAGAGUAUCGCUGUUAGACAGAUCAUAGCUUGCUCAUUAUAAAGCCUGUUCCACUCAAGAUCAUUAUGCUUGUACAAGUGCUAUAGAACAAGUGCUAUAGAAUCAUACACAUAAGUGUAUUACUCUUACGGCUAAAUAUCUUAAUUUAGAAUUAUGAGGAAACUUCCAAAACUGAGCAUCCAAACAGUAUUAUUUUAACAAAGAUAACCUCUAACUCAAGCUUUGUAGGCAUGAAGUUUAUCAUGUAGCUUCAAAGGUCUUUUGAGGCAGAUCUAAAUAUCAAAAUGUAAGGGCAUUAAUGCCAUUUGGGAUAAACAAUUUCAGUGUAUUUAUUUUAAGCGUAGUUCAUUUUUUCUUUUUAAAAUUCAGCAUAAUUUUUGAACGGUAAGAUGUGCGUUUUUCCCAUUAUAUUCCACUUUUUUUUUUUUCCUUUUAAGAUAGGUUCUCCUUAUUUGGCUCAGGCUGGUCUCAGACUCCUGAGCUCAAGCGAUCCUCCCGUGUCAGGCUCCCAAGAAGCUGGGACUACAGGCAUGCGCCACUGUGCGUUAUUUCACUUUUCAUUGAAUUAAGGAAUUUGACUUUUAGUAAUACUUUGGGGCAGGACUCUGGAAAUACUGUUUAGUUUGCCUAAAUUUUUUCAGAUUGCAACGUAAGUUUGAAGAUAAUGCUUGCAUUGGCAGAACACAACGUGCUUUUCUAAUAUUUAUUAGUAAUACUAGAAAGAAUACAACAAAUUUUCCUGAGAGAAAACAUAACUGAAAAACUGGCUUUGUGAGUCAGAUACAUAUGUGAGUAAUAUAUUUUUGUGUGUGUUUUUAAAUACCUGGUACGAGUCUUUUUAUUACGUCAUUAGAGUUCAGUGUAGUGAAUGAUGGAUAUAUAGGUGAAAUUGUCCUGUUGCAACUUAAAACACUUAAGCUUUUUCCAGAGACUCAGUUCAUUCUGCACAUGUGUAUUGGGUACCUACUUGGUGCCAGUUAGUUCCCUAGAGGUUGGGGACACAACAGGGGAGACACAACAGGGCUUAUCAUUUAAGCCCUGAUGGGGCUUAAAUGAUAAGUGGGCAAAUAUGUUUGUUUAAAAGUUUAAGAAGUAGAAACUCCUCUGAUAACUUUUUGGUUAAGGAUAUUGUUUUUUUCUUUCUGAGAAUUGUGGGAAUUAUUGCCUAGCGAACAAAAACAUUAAGACAAUUGUUUUUAGAAUAUGCCUAUGUUUAUAUACUUUGGGUUUCUGGUUACCAAGUAUACCAAAGAUAAACAUUCUACCUGAAGUCAGAUGAUGCGUAGUUUACAUGUGGUUAGACAGCCUUAUUCUUUUGGUUUAUGUAGUUAAAUGAAUGUUUGCUGAAAAUAUUCUCUCGGCAUUUAUUUAUAAGGGAAUCUAAAUUUCUUUUUUGGUCUAAAAUUUUAAAAUAUCACCUUUUUAUUUCUGGCUGACUGUGAGUGAACCAAUUCCUUGAUAAUCUGCUUUUUCAGAAAUUUUUAAAUAACUUUUAAACCAUAAACCAAACUAUUAAUUGAAAUUUAUUGAAUCAAAUUUGUUUUCUUUUGUGAGUUAAACUUUAAACCCAUUUUCUCCGAAAGUAUGCUUUUUUUUUUUUUUUUGCUAUGUAAAAUAGGCACAUAGUUUGGGUUUACUUUUAAUUUUAAUGAUACACAGUUUGAGAAUAAGAUAUUGAAGUGUAUCCAUUUUUUGAAUAUGAGAUAUUUAUUGUGUAACGACUGUAUUUGGAAUAAAAUUGUCACUUUAAUAUGAAUACUUUUUUUUAAGUUAAUUUUCAAUGAAAGAUAAUUCAAAUAGCUUGAAACUACCCCAGCCUGAGUGAAGUUCCUUGGAGAGGAAAAUGAAUGUAUUGCAUUACCCUGUAAAUUGUUUCUUUAAAUGUGUCUUAAAUUUCCUAUUGAAUCCUUUUUAGUGAGAGAAUAAAGAUUGUGAUAAAUUUUAGUAACGUGGAAUUAAUCUGGAAUCUUUUUUGGUUUAAUGUCUUGAGCUUUUGAUUUAGGAAAACUUUUAACUACAUAAUAGAAAUAAAACACUGGAAUUUAAAAUGUGUUACAUUUACCUAUUCUAUGGAAAGAAAAAAGUUUGAAUAUAAAUUUACAUAGUCACUUUACUAAGUAGCUAGUUAGGGAUAUGGGAAGGAUCUAUAUAUACAUACAGUUAUAUGGAUAUAGCAGUGUUCAUAUGACUUAGCUUGAGGAAGCUUGGCCGUUUAUUUCAUUACAGAGAAACUUUUGGUACUGGCUUUUGAAUAAUACAUUGCUUUGGAGUGUGAAAGACUUGAAUCUCUCAUCUUGAAUUUAAUUGAUAGUUUUCUGUUAUUUCACUUACAUGACCUUUUUUUUCAGAACAGAUUUUCUUUAGUUUGAUUUCCUUUUGUUGUUCUUGCAGAAGUGUUUUCUGAAAACCUUAUUAAAU